rnacentral:piRNA from 1 species
UGCUAUAUCAUUUUCAAAUGUUCAAAAAGCA